GGAGAGGGAGAGGGAGAGAGAGAGAGAGAGAGAGAGAGAGAGAGAUGACAACUUCAAUUAUCCCUAGAAGAUUACAUGGAAAAGGAGAUUCUCUAGAUCCAAAGCGGAUCUACAUAUGUAAUCAUGUUUCUACACAAUUAUUUUCAACAUGCAAUGGGUAGCUGACACGGCAUGGAGCAACUUAGAGCAGAAGUAAACAGUACUCACUUGAAGGCAUCUCCUCUUUUCUAUAUAAACCAACCACAUUUCUGCAUUGGUUCACAUUUACAAAAGCAACAAACAAAUUAACACAAACAUACAUAUUACAUACACACAACACAGAUAGAUCUACUUUGAAGAUGAGUUCUAAAGGAGAAGGUUCUAGUUCUACGGCGGAGCGUAAGGUGAAGAAAGCAGCAGCGAGUGUGAUUCCCGUUAAGAGGAAGCUGGUAAAGACUAUGGCCGUCGAAGCCAUUAUCUCUGCCUUUUUUCCCUCCGAAAGCCGGCCUACUACCGACGGCAACGGGAAGGGCAACGUGUACCCCACUAGUUCUUGACCGGUCCUUUUCUUGGGUUGAAGAUAUGUUGCACGCGAGGAUGUUUGUGAGUUUGAUAUGUAUGCUGUUGUUCUCGUCGUGUAAGCAUUUGUUAGUUCUGCUUCUCUCGGUAUUUUCUGGUUAAGUUAAAUGUUUCUAUUGUUCAGUAUCCUGUAGGGGUGACAAACGAAGAUUAUGAUGUCCUCUUUUGUAAAGAAAUCAAGUUGUUAUAAUUUUGAGGA